rnacentral:rRNA from 1 species
UACGUAGGGUGCGAGCGUUAAUCGGAAUUACUGGGCGUAAAGCGUGCGCAGGCGGUUUUGUAAGUCAGAUGUGAAAUCCCCGGGCUCAACCUGGGAACUGCGUUUGAAACUACAAGGCUAGAGUAUGGCAGAGGGGGGUAGAAUUCCACGUGUAGCAGUGAAAUGCGUAGAGAUGUGGAGGAAUACCGAUGGCGAAGGCAGCCCCCUGGGAUAACACUGACGCUCAUGCACGAAAGCGUGGGGAGCAAACAGG